AACGCGAAGAACCUUACCAGCCCUUGACAUGUCCAGGACCGGUCGCAGAGAUGUGACCUUCCCUUCGGAGCCUGGAACACAGGUGCUGCAUGGCUGUCGUCAGCUCGUGUCGUGAGAUGUUGGGUUAAGUCCCGCAACGAGCGCAACCCCCGUCCUUAGUUGCUACCAUUUAGUUGAGCACUCUAAGGAGACUGCCGGUGAUAAGCCGCGAGGAAGGUGGGGAUGACGUCAAGUCCUCAUGGCCCUUACGGGCUGGGCCACACACGUGCUACAAUGGCGGUGACAAUGGGAUGCUAAGGGGCGACCCUUCGCAAAUCUCAAAAAGCCGUCUCAGUUCGGAUUGGGCUCUGCAACUCGAGCCCAUGAAGUUGGAAUCGCUAGUAAUCGUGGAUCAGCACGCCACGGUGAAUACGUUCCCGGGCCUUGUACACACCG
rnacentral:rRNA from 1 species